rnacentral:rRNA from 1 species
GAAGGAGGAGCUUGCUUCUCCGGAUGAGUUGCGAACGGGUGAGUAACGCGUAGGUAACCUGCCUGGUAGCGGGGGAUAACUAUUGGAAACGAUAGCUAAUACCGCAUAACAGUAGAUAUUGCAUGAUAUCUGCUUGAAAGGUGCAAUUGCACCACUACCAGAUGGACCUGCGUUGUAUUAGCUAGUUGGUGAGGUAACGGCUCACCAAGGCGACGAUACAUAGCCGACCUGAGAGGGUGAUCGGCCACACUGGGACUGAGACACGGCCCAGACUCCUACGGGAGGCAGCAGUAGGGAAUCUUCGGCAAUGGACGGAAGUCUGACCGAGCAACGCCGCGUGAGUGAAGAAGGUUUUCGGAUCGUAAAGCUCUGUUGUAAGAGAAGAACGAGUGUGAGAGUGGAAAGUUCACACUGUGACGGUAUCUUACCAGAAAGGGACGGCUAACUACGUGCCAGCAGCCGCGGUAAUACGUAGGUCCCGAGCGUUGUCCGGAUUUAUUGGGCGUAAAGCGAGCGCAGGCGGUUAGAUAAGUCUGAAGUUAAAGGCUGUGGCUUAACCAUAGUACGCUUUGGAAACUGUUUAACUUGAGUGCAGAGGGGAGAGUGGAUUCCAUGUGUAGCGGUGAAAUGCGUAGAUAUAUGGAGGA